CCUCUCGUAGCUUAAUGGUCAGAGCAUUGGUGGGUAAGCCAAAGGACCCGGGGUCGAUUCCCGGCGAAGGUG
rnacentral:tRNA from 1 species